UACAGAGGUCUCAAGCGUUGUUCGGAUUCAUUGGGCGUAAAGGGUGCGUAGGUGGCGCUGUAAGUCAGGUGUGAAAUUUCGGAGCUCAACUCCGAAACUGCAUUUGAUACUGCGGUGCUUGAGGACUGGAGAGGAGACUGGAAUUCACGGUGUAGCAGUGAAAUGCGUAGAUAUGUGGAGGAACACCGAUGGCGAAGGCAGCCCCCUGGGCCAACACUGACGCUCAGGCACGAAAGCGUGGGGAGCAAACAGG
rnacentral:rRNA from 1 species